rnacentral:rRNA from 1 species
CCCUUAGAUGUUCUGGGCCGCACACGCGCUACACUGAAGGAGGCAGCGUGUACUCCUGGAUCGAAAGAUUUGGGUAACCCGCGAAUCUCCUUCGUGCUAGGGAUUGAGGUUUGCAAUUAUCCUUCAUGAACGAGGAAUUCCCAGUAAGUGCAAGUCAUAAGCUUGCGCUGACUACGUCCCUGCCCUUUGUACACACCGCCCGUCGCUACUACCGAUUGAAUGAUUUAGUGAGGACUUCGGACUGGGACCGAUGCGGCUUUCGGGCUGCGUCGGUAUCCUGGAAAGAUGUCCAAACUGUAUCAUUUAGAGGAAGUAAAANUCGUAACA